CCAACGGCCCUCUUAAGGGCCACAAGCUUCAUGAGUCAUGCUGCCU
rfam:Loa loa cont3.731, whole genome shotgun sequence.